UACAGAGGUCUCAAGCGUUGUUCGGAUUCAUUGGGCGUAAAGGGUGCGUAGGUGGCGCGCUAAGUCGGGUGUGAAAUUUCGAGGCUUAACCUCGAAACUGCAUUCGAUACUGGCGUGCUUGAGGACUGGAGAGGAGACUGGAAUUCAUGGUGAAGCAGUGAAAAUGCGUAGAGAUCAUGAGGAAGACCAGUGGCGAAGGCGGGGUCUCUGGACAGUUCCUGACACUGAGGCACGAAGGCCAGGGGGAGCAAAACGGG
rnacentral:rRNA from 1 species